AAGACUAUAGACCUGCGGAGUACCUGCGGAAGGAUCAUUAUCGAAACCUUCAAACUUGGGUAUGCUUGGCCUGGCCUUUUGGCCGUAAGAGCCGGCUCCCAGUCAUCAUCCCUCCUUCACACCUUGUUCACCUUCAGAGGGGAAAAAGAGGGUUGUUGCCCCUUGAGGGCUCGCUUCCCCCUUGACCCCCCUUUUUUCACCAAAAAGCACCUUACUGUCACAGAAUGUUUUUGUGUAUUU
rnacentral:misc_RNA from 1 species